CUCCUGGCCAAGGACUCUCUGGGACACGCUCGACUUUACUGAAAGUUUGGUGAAACUAAAAGCAGUUUACAGAACAAUAACACAAUUUUCAAUAUUGGAGAUUUCUGGACUUAAAG